rnacentral:rRNA from 1 species
UGGGGAAUUUUGGACAAUGGGCGCAAGCCUGAUCCAGCCAUGCCGCGUGCGGGAAGAAGGCCUUCGGGUUGUAAACCGCUUUUGUCAGGGAAGAAAUCUUCUGAGUUAAUACCUCGGGAGGAUGACGGUACCUGAAGAAUAAGCACCGGCUAACUACGUGCCAGCAGCCGCGGUAAUACGUAGGGUGCAAGCGUUAAUCGGAAUUACUGGGCGUAAAGCGUGCGCAGGCGGUUUUGUAAGACAGAGGUGAAAUCCCCGGGCUCAACCUGGGAACUGCCUUUGUGACUGCAAGGCUUGAGUGCGGCAGAGGGGGAUGGAAUUCCGCGUGUAGCAGUGAAAUGCGUAGAUAUGCGGAGGAACACCGAUGGCGAAGGCAAUCCCCUGGGCCUGCACUGACGCUCAUGCACGAAAGCGUGGGGAGCAAACAGGAUUAGAUAGCCCUGGUAGUCCACGCCCUAAAACGAUGUCAACUGGUUGUUGGGAAGGUUCCUUCUCAGUAACGUAGCUAACGCGUGAAGUUGACCGCCUGGGGAGUACGGCCGCAAGGUUGAAACUCAAAUGAAUUGACGGGG